GAUGAACGCUGGCGGCGUGCUUGACACAUGCAAGUCGAGCGAAGCACUUGGAACCGAUCCUUCGGGUGAAGUUCCAUUUGACUGAGCGGCGGACGGGUGAGUAACGCGUGGGUAACCUGCCUCAUACAGGGGAAUAACAGUUUGAAAAGACUGCUAAUGCCGCAUAAGCGCACAGGGCCGCAUGGCCCGGUGUGAAAACUCCGGUGGUAUGAGAUGGACCCGCGUCUGAUUAGCUAGUUGGUGAGGUAACGGCCCACCAAGGCGACGAUCAGUAGCCGACCUGAGAGGGUGACCGGCCACAUUGGGACUGAGACACGGCCCAAACUCCUACGGGAGGCAGCAGUGGGGAAUAUUGCACAAUGGGGGAAACCCUGAUGCAGCGACGCCGCGUGGAUGAAGAAGUAUUUCGGUAUGUAAAGUCCUAUCAGCAGGGAAGAAAAUGACAGUACCUGACUAAGAAGCCCCGGCUAACUACGUGCCAGCCGCCGCCGUAA
rnacentral:rRNA from 1 species